rnacentral:rRNA from 1 species
UGGGGAAUAUUGCACAAUGGGCGCAAGCCUGAUGCAGCCAUGCCGCGUGUAUGAAGAAGGCCUUCGGGUUGUAAAGUACUUUCAGCGGGGAGGAAGGAGAUAAGGUUAAUAACCUUGUCGAUUGACGUUACCCGCAGAAGAAGCACCGGCUAACUCCGUGCCAGCAGCCGCGGUAAUACGGAGGGUGCAAGCGUUAAUCGGAAUUACUGGGCGUAAAGCGCACGCAGGCGGUCUGUCAAGUCGGAUGUGAAAUCCCCGGGCUCAACCUGGGAACUGCAUUCGAAACUGGCAGGCUAGAGUCUUGUAGAGGGGGGUAGAAUUCCAGGUGUAGCGGUGAAAUGCGUAGAGAUCUGGAGGAAUACCGGUGGCGAAGGCGGCCCCCUGGACAAAGACUGACGCUCAGGUGCGAAAGCGUGGGGAGCAAACA